rnacentral:snRNA from 14 species
GUGCUUCCUUUGGCAGCACGUAUACUAAAAGUAGAAUGUUACAAAGAGUAGCACUGUGCAAAAAUGACACACAAAUUUGUGACAUGUUCUGUAAUUGU